GACAGUGCUUCCUCGUUAGGGUGACCUGCGGAAGGAUCAUUGUCGAA
rnacentral:rRNA from 1 species